CUCCUGUCCGGUGCAAGGGGCGGGAGGGGCAGGGCGAGUCAUUGACUUUCCUCGGACUCUUGGGGCCCUGGCACCAGCUCAGCCCGCUGCGUGCGGGGCGCUGAUGGGGUGACGCUGCUGGCGCCAAUGGCAGCGGGAAGGAAAGUGCCCUGGCUCUAGUCCACUUCUGUGUCUACACGGGCGACAUUUUCCAGGUGGUUUUAAAUCCAUCGCGACGCGGGCUCUAACGGCCCAUUUCUGCGGCCUGGGCAAGCUGUGACAUCCGUGUAGUUGGGCCAGAUGUAGAACCAGGCAGAAAAUGCCCCGCCCCCGCCGAUUAGCCAGACUGAUGUCUGUAGGAAAGAGGAAUUCUUGCAGAGUUUGCAGCUUAGUCGCUCUUACAUGGUGGGCUUUGCCAAACACACUUCACUGGUUGUGGAAAAAUCAGUUACCUGUAACUAGGUUAUGGAAUUUAGAAUGUUUAGACACAUUUCCACUGAA